UUUUUUUUUAGAGCAUGAACGCACGUGAGUGGGGGAGAGAAGCAGAGGGAGAGAGAGUCUUAAGCAGGUGUCACGCUCAGCACAGAGGCCGACCUGGGGCUCGAUCCCACACGCCGUGAGAUCAUGAUCUGAGCCAAAAUCAAAAGUCGAUGCUCAACCAUCGACUGAGCCACCCAGAAGCCCCCACAGUUAAAACAGUACUGGGAAAAUGCUUCAUUCUGUUCAGGGAUGUCAGCUGUAACCCUGAGAAGGCACAGGGCAAAGUGUGCUUAUGCCCACGGGAUUACCCAUCUCCUCAGAGGUCACCCGAAACCCUGGCUAACAUCUGUUGUGUGGCGGCGGAUGUAAACACGGAGGAAGCAACAAGCGGUGAGUCCUUGUAGCACAGCAUUCCACGGAAACCUGCGUGUGCUGGACAGUGGCCUACGGGGUCAGUCACUGAGCGCCGUGGUUCUUACAGCCGUUUAGGCCUGAACUGACUAUGUGGCUGCAGGUAGGCUCCCGAUGGGCACUGAGGUCUUCGUUGUAGACUGAACAUGGCUCUAAAUGUGGGCCUACCUCUAAUUAGCAGUGCUUCUGCUACAUGAAAGACCUAUUGGUUAGUGAACUGUCCCUUUAUCUGGAGGCUCUUCUCUUCUAUGUCUGUUUCUUGGAUAAAGGUAGCUUAUCCUCUAGGAUAGCUGCUUUGACACCUGUUUGGACAAGUUUAACUUGAAGGAGAACCUAAUGAGUUACCAGAGUAACGUUGUCUGACAGAAGGGAAGUUAAGGCCAUACGCAUUUUAAGGUAUCUAUCAAUGCAACGUGGACAGGAGAUCUAAAGCCAAUUGUGAAUGCUUCCUUUCGUUAGGAGAACUAGUCUCUCUGUGUCAGAGUGAAGCGCCCCACGAGCUCUGUCUGUGAGCCCUGCAGCGCAGCUUCCUUGAGCUCCCACAGGGCCCUGCGCCGACCUUCCCCGGCUGCCAGCGUCAGUUAGCAAGCUCCAGGACACCAGCGAUCCCCACUGGGGACUUUCUGGUAGCCGGACGGUCACCGUGUCAGAGCGUGGAGCUUGCGCUGCCACGGGGGCGUAGAUCUCAAGUUGUCAGCAGUGAUCUUGAUUCUUAGGCUGAAAGGCGGGUCCUUAGAAGAAAUGGUGGCAACAGCCACAACCUCAAAGUAGGUUUCACAACUGCACUGUCAUAGAUGAAAUCAGUGAGAUUCCGUUAUCACCACCUGUGCCCCCUGAGCCUCUUCCACGUGCGAACACCCCUCUCUGGCGGCAGAGCCUACACCACGGCCAGCACAGCAGCUCCUCGGUGCCUUUGCUCAGUGCGCUAGGCCCUUGGCAGGUCAGAGCACAAGUUAAAAAAAAAAAACAAAAACAAAAAACUUGUUUCAGUUUAUCAAAAUGACAAUGAUACUCUAUUCAAUUAAAAUUAGUAAAAAUAUUUUAUUGAGUUUCAGGAACUUGGUAGUUUUAAAAUUUAAAAUCUUUGCACACAAAUCACCACUAUGCUUUCUAGAAUUGUGGAGGUUAGGACUUGAAGACUGUCACUGAUCUCCUUGUGUCACAUAGCUUGGAAAUCCUAAGUCCUGGGGCUGCCCCGCCCGACUCAGGGUCUAUGCUGCUGUUCUAAGGGAGGAUGGUGAAGGGAGUGGUGUCUUUAAGGAGCUCAGCUGUCCACGUGGAGACUCUUAAGGUUGCCAGAGUAGGAGGGAUCCCAAGUCAUGCCCAGACACACCACGCCACGUGGCUCACAUGUGAGUUUCUCUUUCGUAUUUUUGUUUGGUUUGGGGCAAAGCUGUUCAAAUGAAGUUUCUAGUUCCUUGGGGAGCCCAGAAGUCUGGCAAAGGUCAAAGCAGAAACGUCCUGAAGUAAGACAUUUAGGAACUUCCAGUGAACAGCUGGGGAUUAGUUCGGAGCAUCACGUCUGUUCAGGGGGCACCAGGAGUCAAGCAGGGACGCAAGCUCAGUGGCCGUGGAUGUUUUGAGGGCUCCUGGGAAUUCAGAGCUAAACUGCAAACGGUUAAGUGCCUGGGAUACGACUAUUUGCUAAUCCAUGUUGUUUUUCUGCCUUCUCCUUGAUAGUCUCAAAUUUCCAUGUGCCAAUCAAUCAGCCAACUGAACAAGACACGGAAGAGGCCCCCAAGCCC